UUUUAAUAAAAUUAUAUUUAUUUUAACUUUUUAUUUUUUCAAUUUAAUUUAAAAUCUUUAUAAUAACCUUUUUUUUUCUAUUUUUGCCUACAAUUCUUUUUUUUCUUUAAUUAUCAGAUCAUUUAGUUUCUUUUAUUUAUUAGUAUUGGAUUGAAUGAAGUGAAGCAAUGUAUGAAAAUGGAGCAGUAUUGUAGAGGAGGUAGUGGUUGUAGUGAAGUGGCGUGUGAAAAUGGAUAAAUAAUUGAAGACAGCACGACGUCAUUUUUUGCUCCCAUGAUUUUUUAGUAAAAAAAAUAAUUUUGCUAUGUGAUAAAAUGAAAGAAUUCACUAUUCAUAACUUUAGUAACUUUCAUUCCCUCUUUUAUAUGGUAGAGAUUGUAAUUUCCAUUCCCUCUUUUAUAUGGUAGGGAAAUAGGGAUUAUUGGGAAGACAAAUACAAGUGAAAUGCUUUUAGCUUGUCAACUUUAAUGGUAAUUCAUAUUUCACCUUUGACAAGAACAAUUAUGAAAAUAUGUCAACUAUAAAUUUGAGGGUAAUUGUAGCAAAUUAAUUAUUAGAGAAAUGGCAUAAUUGCCUCCCCAGUUUUUCAAUUAAAUCAUGUUAAAAAGCUUUCAUAUCACACACGUAAUUACUUUCAAUUUUUCAACAUGUGUGGGCCCACUGUGUGUUGGGAAGUGGGUUCCUUUAAUGUGGUUAGUAACGUUUGUGAUGGAAAAAUUACGUUCUUUUUUGCUUUCCCAUUCUUUUCUACUUUCUUCAAUUUCUUUGCUUUUCCAUUUUCUUCCUCAAGAUAGUAAAACAAAUGAGAAAGAGAGGACUACACUGCAAUUUCUUCAUCCUGCGAUUGUAUUGGCUUUCUUCAUCUUCUUGUGAUUUCUAAUCGACAGGUAUAAUGGGUUGCUUUCUAGCUUUUUUCAAUUCGUCUCGUUGUGAUUUCCAAUGGGUUUUUUGCAUUUAAUUGUGAUUUCUUCAUCUUUUUAUGUGUACAGUUCUAAUUUUGAGUUCAUGAAAUUGAUAGGUUUUGUGUUAAUAUUAACAGAGAGAGGUAUAUAAUUUUAUGAUUUAAUUUAUGCUUUCUGUGAUUAAAAUUGUCUAUCUUGGUUAUUGUUUUUUUUUUCGAAUUUCAAAUGGAUUAUUGAGUUUAUAGUGCUAGAUUUUUUAGUUCUUUCUUGAUAAAUUGAUUUUAUCUUUUGCUUCUCUUUUAUGGUGAAUUUUCGGGAGGCUUAUAUGUUAAACAAAGAGGUAUAUAAUUUUCAAAUUUAAUUUAUGCAUUCUAUGAUUAAAAUUGUAUUAUUGUUAUUUUUUUUUUGAAUUUCAAAUGGAUUAUUGAGUUCACAGUGCUAGAUUUUUUAGUUCUUUCUUGAUAAAUUGAUUUUAUUUUUUACUUCUCUUUUAUGGUGGAUUUCACGAGGCUUAUAUGUUAGCAAGUUUUCUAAAGAGGAAUUUUUUAUUGGUUUGUGAUUUACAUUGAAUCUAUGUUUGAGGUUCAUGUAUUGAUUCUAAGCAGAUUUGAAUUUAGUACUAAAUUGCUGGAAUUUUUGUAGGUGCUUCUUAUCGUGUUUAUGAGUUAAUAUUUUGUUUUUCUUCGAUUUUCUAUCUUUAGUUCAAGUUUGGGCAAUCAGAUUUCCAUUCACUACAAAUCAAUUGCUAAUUUUCGCAAAAUAUUGUCAGACUAAACUGUGGUUUGGAACAUAUUAGAUUUUACCUAACCUAACUUUAUCUAUAGAAUGUGGAGAUAAAUAAGUUUCUUCUUAAUAUUAUUUUGGUUUAAAUCUCGAAAGCAUUAACGUUUUGGUAAGUCCAUGAAUUAAAAGAUCGACCAAUUAAUUGAUUUGCUAGGUUACCGGUGCUCCUUAGAAAUUUUUUUAUAUCUCUAUAUAUAAAUUUAUGGUGAAUUUUGACAUCAGUCAUCGAACUUUAUUUUGUUUCCUUUCUUAGAGAAGAAUUUAUUUAAUUGACCUAAAAUUUAUUGGGUAAGAUUUGAUUUGUUAUUAUAAAGAGAAGGCAAACUCAAAUUGCAUUUUGAAACUGUUUGUGGUUAUUACAUUUGUAUUACUAAUGUUGAAGGCUAUUAUACGUUUAGUCUCAAAAUUGUCGAGUUCGUAAUUUUCCUUUUAGGUUUCUUUGAAAAAAAAAACACUUAGUGAGAAUGUUAAAAGAAGAGCUUCAUUUAGAUGAUUUGAACUCAUACAGCAUGAUUGAGCUUCUGAUAAUAAAAUACCUCAUAUUUUUCAUGCUCACUUCUUUUAUCGUAAAAAUUGGCUUAAACUAAUGGCUAAAGUACACUAUUAAAAAUAAAAACUAAAAGAUAUAAAAUUUUAUGGUUAUUAAUAUUCGUGACAUCAAGUUCACUACAUUGUUAUGCAUGUUCUCUUGAUGUUCUUUUAUAAUAUUUUGCCACAUCAUUUGUCAAUUGGCAAGGCUUGUUCGAUAGUAAAGCAAAUUUUGAUGUUUUCAGAACUUCUCAUAUCUUUACAGCGGAAAGAACUUAAAAAUAUUGUUCCUUAGAAUUCUCCAAUUAAAUGGCAUACCUAUACUCUACAAAUUGCCCAAAUAUAUGAUGGGAUUUUGCUCGAAAUAAUCCUUCAAGCCAAAUUUUGGCUACGAGUAACUUGCUUCUUGUCUCCUCUACUAUUAAUAUAUUUCUAAGAUUUUCAAACUUUGUUCCUUUUCAGUAACUAGCUUCAUGUUUCCUCUAUUUUCUAUGCUUACAUAUUUUUAUUAGUUCAUUUAUUCAUCUGAACUAUGCAUGUGAACACUAUAACUAAAUUGGUUGCAAAUAAAAUUAAAUGCAAUUGCAAAUGUAGCGAUGAUGAAAUAAAUUGUAACAUAAUUUACUCCUCUAUUCUCUUCCUAUAUUUUUAAUCAUAUUUCAUAUUUUAUGAAUUCUCUCUUCAGCUAUCUAAAGUUUCUUUGGAAAAAAUUAUGUUUUCUUCUUCUAUUCAUUUUCUCAGGUAGCAGCUUGGAUUACAUUAUAUCUAAAAUCCAGUUUCUUCUCUUCUUGUUGGCAUGUAAUGUGCAAUGUUAUUUUUUAUUUCACUCUUACCUUUGGUCAAAAAUUAAGAAUCUUUCAAAUAUUUAUAAUUUGACUAAUUGUUUCCCAACAAAUUUUCUUCUAUGGAAUUUUGUUGUCUAUGUUGCUGUAUAUUUUACAAAAAAUGUACUCCAUAUUAUGUUGGUUCUAAAGAUUUAACCUAUUAUCGACAUUUAAUCAUAUUUUUCGUUGUCUUGGGUAUAGAUUCUUCUACUCUAAUAUUUAUAUUUAAACUAUGUAUGACAUAAUAUAUAUGGUAAUAGUUUUUCUUUUUUUCAUAAAGUUGCUAUUGCUUACUUUCAACUCCAACUAUUUGAUAAUUUUCUUCAUUUAUUGAUUGACAUAAUGGAACCAUGUGGUCAUUGAGAGUCCCAUUUGUAUAACGCUCAAACUCUUCUAAAAGUAUCAGUCACAUGAUGCAUUAAUUCGUCAACAACGAAAUCAAAGAUGAAGAGAUCGACGAUAUCAAGCUGAAACUUGAUUCAUUAAUUAUCAUAAAAAAGUAAUUCAGCCUAUGUUAUUUACAAAUAAUGAUUCUCAUGUUGUCCAUGUACAUGAACCUACAACAUACCAUCAUUCUAAGCCUUCUACUUUCAACAAUGAAGUAUUGAACAUUUGCAAUACUGAAUUACAAGAGAGUUCUAACCAAUUAAAUGUACCAUGUAUUGCAUAUGUAUUACCAACAUGCACAUAAUGUAAAGAUUAUGGUGCAAAAAGUUCUACAGAGAAAGUAAAGGUUUCUGUUGUUCUGAUGGAAAAGUUUAACUCUCUAUGUCUGAUCCGCUAAUUGAACUAUACAAUUUAUUUACUUUUAAAGAACCUACAUGUAUGGAAUUCAAAAAAAAAAAAAAUUGCCAGGGCAUUUUACAUUCACUUCAUUUGGGGUAAAGUAUGACAAAGAACUGUUUAAAUCAUACAGAGGUAUCUACACAUUUAGGAUUCAAGGUCAAGUAUAUCAUUACGUAAAUCCACUUAUGCCAGAAAAUAAUACGCCUUCUUAUAUGCAAUUAUAUUUUUAUGAUACAGAUAACAAAGUUGGGAAUCGUAUGAAAAUUUCAAAGAAUUUUGUUCAAUCUACUUUGAUUAGUUUAAUUGAAAUCCUCAAAAUAAAUCCGUAUAGUAUAUUCUUUAGGUCUUUAAGUAAUAUGACAAAUUUGCACGAUCAUCGAAUACAAACAAGAUGCGAUCUGGGACUUAAUCAAGGAGUUUUCAAUACUCCUACGAUGUCUCAAGUUGCUGCUGUAUGGGUCGAAGACGAUGAAAAUGGAAAUGUUCGUACUCGAGAUAUUAUUAUUUACAGUCAUUCCAAUAAUUCACAUAAGGUUCAUUAUUGUUAUGGUUGUUAUGAUCCUUUACAAUAUCCAUUGCUUUUCCCAUAUGGAGAAUCUUGUUGGCAUGAAGGCAUUAAGAGAUGCAACAACAAAUAUUUACAGUCUCAACAUCUGUCUAACUUAGAUGGUUUUCCUAGCACAGUAACUUCCGCAUCUGAAAUUAUUGAAAAAGAUGAUGAAGAUUUAUGUAUAUUUUUUUCUUUAUAGUUCUACUUUCUACAAUGUAAAUUAAUAAAUGAAUAUAUAAUUUUGACAUUUUCCAUCAUGCAGUGCUUAAUGGAACGAAGAAACGAUUUCAGGUCUCUUGCCGGGAAUACUAUUCAUACAAAUUUCAGAUUAGGCCAUUUGGUAAGUCUUUAUUGCUUCACAGUGGUAAAUUAUUUCAACAGUUUGUUGUAAAUAUGUAUGUUAAGAUUGAAACUGCUAGAUUAGACUAUUUUCAUAAUAACCAAAAAUAAAUUCGUACUGAACUAUAUCAAGGUAUUGUAUAGAUAGUGUUAAAAAUGGAGAAAUGAGAGGAUACAAAAUUGGAAGAAAAAUUAUUUUACCACAAUCCUUUACAUGUGGGCCUAAAGACUUGCUAAAAAGAUACAUGGAUACGAUGUCUAUUGUGCAGCGUUAUGAAAAAUCAGACAUCUUUUUUACUAUGAUAUGUAAUUCAAAUUGGCUGAAGAUUAAGCAAGAACUAAAGCAUAAUGAUGAAGUUCAAAAUCGAUCAGAUCUAAUUGCAUGCAUAUUUCAAGCAAAAUUAGAAGAGUUAAAAAAUGAUUUAUACAAGAAAAAUAUCUUAGGCCUUGUUGUUGCACAUGUAUAUAUGAUUGAAUUUAAAAAAACGAGGUCUUCUUCAUGCGCAUCUAUUAUUGAUUUUCAAAUCUGGCCAUAAAAUUUGUUGUGCUAAACAGGUCGAUGCGAUAGAAUGUUCUGAAAUUUCUAAAAAAUAUAUAUACCCCCAUCUUCCUUCUAUUAUUGUUAAACAUGAUAUGCAUGGUCCUUGUGAAAAUCUUAAUCCUAAAAAUGUAUGCAUGGAGGUAAAUAAAGGUUGCAAAAACAAAUGCCCUAAAGAACAUUGUAACAUGACUACAUUUGGUGAUAACUCAUAUCCGUUGUAUAAGCGUAUAAGCAUAGCAAUAAUGGCAUCUCUGUUAAAGUUAGAGGUCAAAUGUUAGACAAUUACUAGAUUGUACCAUAUAAUCUUUAUUUAAGUACGGAAUUUGACUGUUACAUUAAUGUUGAAAUAUGCUCUUCUAUUAAGGCUGUAAAAUAUUUGUACAAAUAUGUAAACAAAGGACCUGAUCGUAUUAAUUUCACAAUUAACACAAAUGAAGCAGAGAAAGAAAUUGAUAAAAUUUCUGCUUAUCAUUUUGUGGAUAUCUUCACUUGAAGCUAUGCAGAGAAUUUUUUUUAUUUUGUCAGAAACUUGUCCUACUGUUUAUUCUUUAUAGUUUCAUAUUGAGAAUCACCAAGAAGUGACAUACAAUAGUUAUGAUAAUUUAUCUACCAUCAUUGAGAACAAAAAUACAAAGAGAACAAUGUUGACAGAAUUCUUUCGAAUGAAUCAAAAAAAUAAAUUUGCUCGAACAUUGUUGUAUCGAGAUUUUCCUACACAUUUUGUUUGGAAUACUAAUAAAAAAAAUUUAACUCCGGGAAGAAGCAAAUUGUUAUAGGACGAAUUAUCACAACAAAUCCUUUUGAAGGAGACGCUAUUUCCUCCGCAUUCUUCUUAAUCAAAUUCGAGGGCUAACAUCAUUUAUUGAUUUACAAACUUCAAAUGGGGUAACUAUUAUAGAGAGACUGCGCUUCUACAUGGUUUAUUAAGCGGGGAUAAUCAUUGUGAAGAAUGUUUAUCUGAAGCUAUUGUUUACGAAAUUCCAACUUCUUUAAGAUGCCUAUUUGCUACACUACUUACGCUUUGCAACCUUAAUCAUCCAAAAUUAUUGUGGGAUAAAUUUAACGCUUAUAUGAUAGAUGACUAUCUACAUGAAAAUAUACUUAUAGAAAUUGUAAAGUACAUGCUCUAUAGGAUAUUGGUGAUCUUCUAGAAUCAUUAGGUAAAAACAUAAAUGAUUAUGGAAUAGUUCCAUUCAGUGUAAAUAUGGGUGAGGAUCAAAAGUUGAGAAGAAUGGUUAUAGAGGAGACGACCAAUUUGGAUAUCAAAGGAGACUAUACUUGUGCAUCUAGUUUAAAUAAAGAACAAUAGUUUGCAUAUGAUUCGAUUAUGGAAAAAGUUAAAUCAGAAUCAAAUGGUGAUUUCUUUAUUAAUGGUCCAGACGUAACAGGUAAAACUUUUUUAUAUAAAGCAUUUCUUGCUGCUGUGAGGUCUCAAAAUUUGAUUGCUUUAACGACUACAUCUUCUGGAGUAUCUGUAUCUCUAUUACCUGGUGGUCGAGCAUCUCAUUCUAAAUUUAAAAUUCCUUUAGAUACAUAUGGUGAAGUAAGUUGCUCCGUUAGCAAGCAAUCAGCUUUGGGAACUUUACUCAGAAUGUGUAAGUUAAUAACAUGGGAUUAAGCACCCAUGGUAAAUUGUUCUUCUGUUGAAACUGUGGAUAAAAUGUUCAGAGAUAUUACCGAUUGCAAUUUGCCUUUUGGUGAGAAAGUGGUUGUUCUCUGAGGAGAUUUUCGACAAAUUUUACCAGUUGUGCCAAGAGGAAAAAAAGGAAGAUAUAAUGAAAGCUAGCUUAGUCUUCUCUAACCUUUGGCCUUUGUUUAUACAUCUACCAUUAAUUGAGAACAUGAGGGCUAAGCUAGAUCCCACAUUUUGUGAUUAUUUACUUAGAAUUGGAGAUGGAACAAAAAAAGAACAUACUUGAAACUACAUUAAGCUUCCAGAAAGUAUCACUCUACCAUUUGAGGACAAAAUUCAGUCUAUAAAAAUAUUGAUAAAUCAUGUGUUUCCCAAAUAUUGAAGCAUAUGCUGAUAAUUUACAUAUGAUGGGAAAUUGAGUUAUUCUUACACCUACAAAUGAAUGUGUCGAUCAUACUAACAGAAUUUUACUCGAACAAAUUUCAAGUCAAAUUUCACAUAUUUUAGCUUCAAUGAAACGAUUGAGAAAUCAAAAAGGAGCUUGUAGGAAGAUUUUUUUUUUUUUUGAAUAGUUUAACCACAAACAGUAUUCCACCUCAUGAAUUGAAUCUUAAAGUAAAUUGUCCUAUAAUGUUAUUGAGAAAUAUUAAUCCUUUUGAAGACUUAUGCAAUGGGACACACCUUACUUGUUGAAAAUUUGAGAAGAAUAUAAUUCUUGCUGAAAUCACAACUGGUGAAUAUUGUGAAAAAUAUGUUUUCUUAUUGAGGAUUCCUUUUAUACCUCUUAAGAUAGAUCAAAAUUCAAUUCCAUUUAAAAGAUUUUAAUUUCCAAUUAAAUUAUGCUUCGCAAUGACAAUAAACAAAUCACAGGGCCAAACAUUUGAUUUUGUUGAUUUGUAUCUUCUAGAACCUUUUUUUGCCAUGGUCAACUUUAUGCAGCAUUAUCAAGAACUAGAACAAGUACGAAUAUAAAAGUUUUGGUGAAACCAUCAACAACUGAAAACUUACACAGUACAUGUACUAAGAAUGUUGUCUACAAGAAAAUCCUUUCUUUCAUACAUCCAUAGAGCUACAACUUGGCUUCCUUGUCCGUUAUUGAAAAACUUUAUAAAUUUAUGCAAUCAAAGUCAUCGAUGAAGCUAUCAAAUUUGCAUGGAAUAACUUACAAACAAUUAGAAAAAAAGAUGAAAGUGUUAUCAGAGAAGCUCGUGAGGUCAGUGAAUUAUUGUUUUACAAAAUAGCUUUCUUUUAAUCUAAUGUUUUAUAUAUCAUUUUAUCUCACUUUUCCGCAGUACAUAAUUCUAAUGUUCACAUAUUUUUUUUACACAAGUAGUUCGAAAUCUUUUCACUUCAUAUCUUGUUCAAAAAGUAUAGUUCUCAAACAUACUAUAGUUCUUACGAGUUUACUCCUUAGAGAAGAAAUUCUUUUUCAAAUCUUAUAGUUAUUGACAUUUCGUAUAGUACGUAUAGUAACAAAAUAAUUGUUUAUACUUUAAUCCUUAAAUAUUCUUUUUCUUUUAUUAUUAUUAUUAUUAUUAUUAUUAUUAUUAUUAUUAUUAUUAUUAUUAUUAUUAUUAUUAUUUUGCAAGUUUAUUUUCCUAUUCAUAAUUAGCUUAUUCAUUUUCCAAAUUCUAAUUAUUCAUCUUCGCAAUUAGUUUUUGAAUUUAACAAACAAUAUUUCACUAGCACUUCAAUGGCAUCUCUGUUGAUGAAAUUUUUGCAUGUCGGAUGACACAUAUUCUUACUUGUGUUCAUUUCCAGAAAGCAGAUCUUAUUCAAAUGUGUUUCACAAUUUUUUUAUCAAACCUUUUAAAUAAUUAUAAUAUUAUUCUCUCAUGCCUUCAAUUCUGUCAAACCAUUCUAAUUUCAUUCAUCAUAAUACUAUGACUCGAAAUUCUAAAUGUCUUUUCUUUCAUGAUUUAUAGUUUUUUCAAGCGUAAUUCUUCAACGAUCAAUGGUCAAUUCAUCACCUGGAGAAAGAGAGUUGAAGAUAGUUGGUCGAACAUUGAUAUGAAUAGUUUCAAGGUACAAUCUACCAUAUUAAGUAAUAUCAAAAGAAUAUGAUGCGAAUUUCCGCCUCCACCAAACAAAAGAAUAUUAUAAAUAUUCCUUCAAGUUUUAUUACUAAUUCCAUUUCUUUUACUUUAUUAUCCCUGUAAACUAGCGUACACACAUUUUACUCUUCUUUUACCUCUUUUUUCCUGUUUCUUAAUAGUCUUUUCUCGUCUCUUUUUCCUUCUAGUGAAAAGAUUUUAAAAAUCCUUUAAUCCAACUGAGAUUUAACUUACCAUAUUUGACCAAUUCAUUUCCAAUUUAUUUUUAUCAUAGAUGGCCCCGAUUAUUGCAAAUAUGGGUGGAACAAGUAUUCCUCUCCGUCUGGACAAUCAUCCACAUUUUCAGUGAGCUUCUAUUUGUUGUUAGUAAUAUUAUAAUCUCUGAAGUAAUUAUAAAUUUAUGAGUUGUUUUGCCCUUUGAUCAAUACUAAAAUCUUCAAUUUUUAAUUCAUUUUUAAGUCCUUUCAAAAUACAGGAAUUUGUAAAAUUUGUCUCUGAUGACUUCUAUAAUUGGACAUUUCUUUUUAACAAUAUGCAUCAAUUUUAUCUAAGAGGCAAUCCUGAAUUGGGGAUAAAGUUUUGAAAAUGUUGUUGAGAAAGUUUGAUUUCCAAUCAUGUGAAAUAAUUUUUUUAAUUUACUCAGGUAAGACCUCCAAGUAUUCUCAUGUGAUGUAGUGGAUAGGAGAUGUAGUUUUGUUAGAGAUCUUUGUCUUCCUUAGUUCCUUGUGAGGAUUUUUAUGCUAGAGUUACUUAUUUAUUUAUUUAUUUAUUAUUAUUAUUUACAACUACAUAAGACAAAAUGUAUUUCAUGACAAUCCAACACAUUUAACACGUUAAUAUUACAUUCUAAAUAAUCAUGCCCAAACUCAACCGUCUGUCCUGAGUACGCAUUUGAUAUAUCGGAUCAAAAGUUCCCAAGUUUCACAAAUCAAACUCAACAAUUAAUUUUAAUUAUAUAUUUAAUAUGACACAAUUUUCAUUAAUUAUUAUCAAAAUCUACUGAAAAUUUGAUUUUAAUUUACACCAAAUAGGGAUUUAGUACUUCUAAGUUUUAACAUUUUUUUAAAACUAGAUGUGAAUAAGAAAAUUAUCAAUUGGGUCAAAUUGAAUCGAAGUCACAGCUUUCAUAUCGAUGGUUUGAACUAAGUAAUUCAGGUUUUGAUUGUUUCAAAAUCGAAUCAAAUCAUUUGAAAAUGAUUCAUUUUAAGUUCGCAAAAGAACUUAAAAUUCGAACAGUUAUCCAUCUUUUUUAAAGAAACAUCACUUUUCUAUCCAGAAUAUACUAUUUACUAAAUCUGUUUAUAUUUCAAAAAAUUUAAUCUCCGCUUGUAGGAUUUUGAAAAAAAUAAUGGUUUAUUUUUUAUAACACUUUUUUAAUUUUAAAUAAUAAAAUUUCAAAGUUAAAUUUUAUAGUUAACUAUUAUUGAUUUAAGCUAAUCCUAAGAUAAAUUUUAUAGUUAAAUAUUAUGCUCCCGUUUGGUUCUGAUUUUUCACUCUAAAAAUCAAUUUUUUGAUUGUUGCUUCCCUAUUUUAGCAGUCACUUUUAACUUCUUCACUCUCAAAAAAUCAAUUCUCAUAAUCACUUCCGAACAAACCCAUAAUAGUGAUAAAACCGUCAUGAGCAUGUUUGAGCCCCUUUCUUUCUUUCUUUUUUUUGGAAAUAAUACAUUUUGGAAUAGCAUUUUGAUGAAAAAUAUGUUGUUAAAAUAUAAGGAAAACUUUUUUAAUUUUGUGUUUAAAUUAUUUUAUUGAAUAAUGUGCAGUUGAAAAUAAGAAAGUAAAAAUAUAUUUUUUGAAAAAUGGAGAAUAAACGAGGGCUAUAUUUAAACGGUUUCAAUAAAUGUUUGAGUCCCAUUAUGUUGAAAAAAUAAAUUUUGUAACAAAGAUUUUUCAGAGAAUGUAUAGUUAAAAAGUAGAGAGAUAUUUUGGGUUUACGUGUAAUUGUUCACUUGGAUAAGUAAUAUACUACCUGCAUGAUAGUGUAUAGAAUUUUGCUGUCUACACUGGUCAUGUGAAAUAGGGCCUGUAUAGGCCACUCACAUGCCAAUGUGGGUGAGGUGGGGCAUGUGAGUGGACGAGGAGUGGUGAUUAUUUUAAAAAAAGAAAAAUUCACCCACCACUGCAUGUGUGAGUGGCCUGACAUGACCUGUACAGCCAGCAAAAUCCUAGUGUAUAUUACACAUAUCUAAUUCUUGUAGACAAAUAUUCUUAAUUUUGGUUAGAUUUUUUUAUCAUUGUGUGAUGGAUAUUUAAUUGGGCAUGGGGGUUCCAAAAACCUUUAUUAAGAUUUAUGAUAUUUUCUAUUUUUGAAAAUUAUAGAAACCUCUCCCUCAAGUUUGGUUUUAGUAAUAAAUUCGUCCUUGAUUCCUUAUUAGUCAAGGUGUAUUUUUUAUUUCCAAUUACCCUUAGAUAAUGAUAAUAAUGAUAAGGUGCAUAUUUUUACAUCCACAGUGUUUAUAUAUACAUCCCUAUUAAAAUAUUAAAGUGUCAAAAAAAUUACCAUUUUCAUCCACAUCAAAUUUCAAUAGUAUCAUUAUUAAAUUCAUUCGUUUAAACAUUAUAGAGCCAUUCAAAAUUUAUAUGUUAAUCCCACUAUAAAUACAUUCAUAACACAAUUUCAAAAAUUUUAAGAAACACUGUAUUCAUCCAAUCACUAUCAACAUUUAAUCUCGUUUUUAUUUUUUAUUUUCUAUAUUAUCAUGUUGGUGUUGUAAUAUUUAGCUAUAAACGUUAACAAAUCUAUUUUCUUGAAUUUAUAGGAUUUUAUCAAAAGUAUAAUGCUCAAGCAAACAAACAAAUCCCUCCUCUAAUUAUAUGUAAAUUUUCUUCUUCUUCUUCUUCUUUUUUUUUUUUUUUUUUUUUUUUUUUUUUAAAUGACCCUAUUUUUCCCAUAAUAUCGACCAAUCAUGAAAAAUCAUUAAAAUGCCCUUUUUUUUUUUUUUUUUCUAUGACCCUAUUUUUCCCAUAAUAUCAACCAAUCAUGAAAAAUCAUUAAAAUGCACCCCUUAAUGUACACGCAAAAUCAAAUUUAUGAUACUUUUUUUUUUUUUUUUUUUUUUUUUGUGCUUAUAAGCUCAUAAUUUUGGUUGUUUAUGACUUGACCUAUAAUUUUAAUUUUGUUUCAUUUUGUAAUGUAAGAAUAUUUAGACACAUAUUGAAACUUAUUUUGAAAUAUCUAGUAUAUUUUCAUCUGUCAAACCCUUAAAAAUGAAUAAAAAACAAUAUUUCAUUUUUCAUAUCAUGAAAGAAUUAUAACUCUAAUAACAUGUUGAUUUUUUAUUUCUAAAUUUUCGUUGAAGAUGAUAUUCUAUGAUUAGGGUUUUAUGAUUUUAGAUGAAGAUGGUGUUUUACUAUUAUGAGAAUUUUAGUUAAACACGAACUCUGAAAGAAUUUAAAAUGGUUUAAAAGAAUUUAUGAAAAUAAAUAUUAGUGGAUGAAGUUAGAACGAUAUAUUUUUAUUUAAUUUUAUAUAUGUUUAUUUAGGUAAAUUUACAAAAGAUAAAAGAUAUAAUAUAUUAGGGAUGUCAACGGGGCGAGUACGAGAUAGGUCGACCAUUCCCAUCUUCGUCCCAUCAAGUAUUUUUAUUAUCUUACCCCAUACCCGAUUAAAGCGGGACCGGGGUUGAGUUCGAGGCAGGAUAUUAUUAUUAAUUUUGCUUUUAUUUUUUUAUGUCUUUAGUUAAUAAAUAUUAUUCUUUUUACCAAUCUGUCAAAAACAACUUAUAUUCUCUUUAAAAAUAAUGAUAAAUCUAUUAUUUUUGUUUGAUAAAAACUUAAAUUUGAAAUUAGCAUUAAACAGGACAAGGACUAUGUUUCCUGUACCCGUCCCGGAGCAAUGACCCCUGUCCCAUGCCCGCCCCAUGUUCCAGUUAGGCGGGUAAUGUGACGGAGCCCUACGAGUAUCACGUUGAACGUGUUUUUUUGUCAUCCCUAAAUAUAAUUAUAUUUUUAGAAGUAUUUGUAUAUAUAAAAUCUGUGAAUGUAAAUAGCCGUACCCUAAUGAUAAUUUAUAAUUUGAAACUAUUAUUGAUUAAUAUUUUACCAUAAUUGUUUCUUCUUCUUGUUCCCCUAGAUUCUUAAUGGUUUAAAUGUUUUUAGCUAAAAUAAUUAUUAUUAAGUUUUCGUAUUAACAUUUGAAUAAAGUUAUAAUUUCUUUUGUCUUUACUUGUACUAGUAACAAUUAUAGGGAUGUGAGACGAGGUCGAGAUGCCCGGGGGGGGAGGGGGGGGGAGCAAAUUUCCCAAUCCUGUCCCCUUCCAUCUUGUACAUCCCCCAAAUAUAUAUUUUUCAAUUAAAUUGAAUUUAAGAAAAUUUAAAUAAAUAAUUAAUUGAACAUGAUGGUAAAUUGAGAUAUUAUAAUCUUGAUUUGCCUUCCAAAAUCCUCAAUGAGACAUAGAAGGGAAUGGCAGUCUGCGCCCCGCACAACCCUCUAUAUAUAGGCUUGAGCGUGGUUUGGUUUUGGUCGGUUUCGACUUCAACCCGAAAUCAAAAUCAAAUUAGUUGGUUUUAGCAAAUUUCAAUCCAAACAACACACUCUAACUCUUACGGUUUGGACUUUUAGUUCAAAUUAAAUUUUUUUAAAAAAAUUGUUCAAGUUUUAGGUGCACUUAAAUUACAAGAACUAAAAUAACCAAAUAAUUUUAUAUUAUAAAAACUGCUGACCAAAAAAUAAAAUCAAGUUUAUAGAGACGGAUCAACAGAAAACUUAAAUUUUUUGUUGCUUUUUUUAUUUAUUAUGUAGUCUGAUCACCUGAAUAUGAAAAAAUGCUAAGUAUAACAUAAUAAGCUUGUGAAUGAAGAUUUUCAGUGUUAUUACUUAUUGACAACAUCAUAGAUUGGAGGAAAAUCGGAUAUAAUCAUGAGAUUAGCGUUUAUUUUUUUUCUUAAAUAACAAAAAAAAAGGUGAACACGUAAGUGGGUUGGGUUGGUUCGGUUAACCAACGAUUUGAGAUUUCAAAUCAUGACUAAAUCGAUCCACCGUGAUUUUGUUUAAAAGAAAAUCAAACCAAACUAAUUACCUGUGUCGAACCGACCUGAGUCGGUUCGAUUUGAUUGGUUUGGUCGAUUUUUCGAUUUUUUUGUCCAAACCUACCUAUAUCCCCGUUUACUUAUUUGUUCAAUUUCUUAGUAUAUAUUUUUAAUGGAUUUAAAUUCAAAAACAUAAUUAAAAUUAAAUAACAAACAAUAAUUCAUAUGGGAUUUGGGAUAGGGCAAAUGCGAGGCGAAGUGGAGGGUAUUUUAACAUCCCUAUCCAAUUGUACUUACUUUAUUAAGUGCUUGUUUGACGAUCAUUAAUUUAUUUUAUGAUUUGUUACAUGAUUAUUUUUAAUCACACAUUCACACAAUAAAAUAUUUUACAUAUAUAUCAAAUAUUUUUUCCUACUUUUUAACCACAUAUUCCCCUAAAAAUCACUAUUCAAAAAUAUUUUUUUAAAUAAUAAUGGUUGUCAAACGGGCUUUAAGUUUAAGAUAUUCUUAUUGUAAUAUAAAAAAAUAAAAAAAUAAUAAUAAUAAUAAAGAAUGAAUUAAUGUUAUUCCUUUCUAUGAAAAACAGAAGCUUAAUUUUGACACAUAUAUAAAACAAUUUUUUUUUUUAAAAAAGAUAAAUAUGGAAACAAAUAUAAUCUUAUAUUUAGCAGAGAAAAUGGCAAAAUGAGAAAUUUAUACCAAUAGAGGAGGUUUCUUUAAUAUUUUUAAAAUCAGAGGUGUGUGUCUGAAGUUAUUGUAAGCCUCAGGAGAAUUUUC
rnacentral:lncRNA from 1 species